ACUUUCGCUUUCGCCCUUCGUCGUCGCUCUUUUUUAUUUUUUAGUCAUUUCUUUAGCUUCAGUCACGUCGAAUUCCUUUAGAUUUCUGAUAGGAUUCCUCUCUCUUUGCCACGUGUCGAAGUUCGGCCAUCUUUUUCUUUGUUUAGGUAUUUUUACACCUUCAAGCGCGACCCCUCAGCAAAGGACUGGUGGUACUUCUCCCCCC
rnacentral:lncRNA from 1 species